UACAUGGGGUGCAAACGUUGCUCGGAAUUAUUGGGCGUAAAGCGCGCGUAGGCGGUUACUUAAGUCGGAUGUGAAAGCCCUCGGCUUAACUGAGGAAGUGCACCCGAAACUGAGUAGCUAGAGUACGAAAGAGGGUCGCGGAAUUCCCGGUGUAGAGGUGAAAUUCGUAGAUAUCAGGAAGAACACCCGUGGCGAAGGCGGCUCUCUGGGACGUGACUGACGCUGAGACGCGAAAGCGUGGGGAGCGAACAGG
rnacentral:rRNA from 1 species